rnacentral:rRNA from 1 species
UACGUAGGGCGCAAGCGUUAUCCGGAAUUAUUGGGCGUAAAGAGCUCGUAGGCGGUUUGUCGCGUCUGCCGUGAAAGUCCGGGGCUCAACUCCGGGCCUGCAGUCGAUACGGGCAGACUCGAGUGUUGCAGGGGAGACUGGAAUUCCUGGUGUAGCGGUGAAAUGCGCAGAUAUCAGGAGGAACACCGGUGGCGAAGGCGGGUCUCUGGGCAACAACUGACGCUGAGGAGCGAAAGCGUGGGGAGCGAACAGG